AAACCACCUGGAUCUUCAGUAAUUCAAAAAUACCAUUAGCAGUAGAGCUGGUUACUCUUGGACAAAUUAAGAAUAAGACCAACAAAGACAGACUGAAUGUUACAGCAAAUUGUUCUCUGGUUAUAAAGAAAGUUACAGUUGAGGAUGCUGGUCAUUACUCCUGCAGACAAUAUAUAUCAGAGAAACAACGUGGUGAAGAUGCUUGGGUUGAUCUGUCUGUUGUUACUGGUGAGGACACAAAAACAAAAACAACAACAACUGCAAACAACCGAAGAGGUGAUACAACAAUGACAGGACCUGCAAUUGAGGAUGCUACAGCAAAACUACACGGU
ensembl:lncRNA